rnacentral:rRNA from 1 species
GACGAACGCUGGCGGCGUGCCUAAUACAUGCAAGUAGAACGCUGAAGGAGGAGCUUGCUUCUCUGGAUGAGUUGCGAACGGGUGAGUAACGCGUAGGUAACCUGCCUGGUAGCGGGGGAUAACUAUUGGAAACGAUAGCUAAUACCGCAUAAGAGUAGAUGUUGCAUGACAUUUGCUUAAAAGGUGCAAUUGCAUCACUACCAGAUGGACCUGCGUUGUAUUAGCUAGUUGGUGGGGUAACGGCUCACCAAGGCGACGAUACAUAGCCGACCUGAGAGGGGGAUCGGCCACACUGGGACUGAGACACGGCCCAGACUCCUACGGGAGGCAGCAGUAGGGAAUCUUCGGCAAUGGACGGAAGUCUGACCGGGCAACGCCGCGUGAGUGAAGAAGGUUUUCGGAUCGUAAAGCUCUGUUGUAAGAGAAGAACGAGUGUGAGAGUGGAAAGUUCACACUGUGACGGUAUCUUACCAGAAAGGGACGGCUAACUACGUG